CGUACCCGCGCCGAGGUGCGGCAGAGCUUGGGGAUGGUGGCCCGCACGCCCUCGCCCCGUCUGCUGCAGACCAGCCUGGAGCUGGAGGGUCGCUGAGCGCCCCGAGGACCGUGGGCGGGGCGCAAGGCCUCCGCGGGGGUAGGGGGGGGCUCCCGCGUUGGUCCCCAGGAAACCCCGCCUCGCCUGCAGGCAGCGCGGCACCCUCGGCCGGGUAUGAAAUGCCCGCUCCGCGUCUCCCGGCCAAUCCCAAGUCGUCCUUCAAGACGUCCCUGCUCCGGAAAGCUGUCGCCGUAAAACUGCCCCGCCCCGUCCCUCCCGGCAUGGCCAUCCCCUUGGCGCUGGCCAGUGGGAGCGAUGCGGACCAGGGCCGCUCCCCAGUCUCGAGCGGCACUCCCUCUCCUCCAGCCCGCCCCUGCCCGGGAAGAUGCCUGCGUGAAACCAGAAGUGAUUCACGCUGCGCCACGUGAUGGCCCCGCAUCAGUGACCUGAAAGCGGAUGCUGAAUUUCGGUCAAUGCUGGUCCGUGUGCUUUACAUGCAUUACCUCAUUUUAUCCCCAAAACAACCCUGUGGGAAAAUGGGGAUGAUGAUUCCUACUUGAAACAGUUGCUGAGAAGAUGACAUGAGAAAAUAUUGUCAAAGAUUUUAACACAGUGGAAACCAUCACAAAUGAUCUCAAAGCAUCUGAAAUUCAUAUAUAGUUUUUUUUCUGAUUAUAAGUUAUUUGGAAAAUAUAGAAAAAUAUAAAG